UAGCAGUAGGGGAAUCUUCCACAAUGGACGAAAGUCUGAUGGAGCAACGCCGCGUGAGUGAAGAAGGGUUUCGGCUCGUAAAGCUCUGUUGGUAGUGAAGAAAGAUAGAGGUAGUAACUGGNCUUUAUUUGACGGUAAUUACUUAGAAAGUCACGGCUAACUACGUGCCAGCAGCCGCGGUAAUACGUAGGUGGCAAGCGUUGUCCGGAUUUAUUGGGCGUAAAGCGAGUGCAGGCGGUUCAAUAAGUCUGAUGUGAAAGCCUUCGGCUCAACCGGAGAAUUGCAUCNGAAACUGUUGAACUUGAGUGCAGAAGAGGAGAGUGGAACUCCAUGUGUAGCGGU
rnacentral:rRNA from 1 species